rnacentral:lncRNA from 1 species
CUCAUUCCCUCUUGUCUGCUGCCAUGUGUCUUGUGUCUUUCACCAUGAUUGUGAGGCCUCCCCUGCCGCGUGGAACUGUGAGUCCAUUAAACCUCUUUUUCUUUAUAAGUUACCCAGUCUCGGGUAUGUCUUUAUCAGCAGUGUGAAAACGGACUAAUAAAGUAGUGAAAUGAGGUUUUUUCACCUCAUGGAAAAUAGACAUUGUAUGACCCAUCAGUUUCCUGUUAUUUUAACCUUCACUAGGGUCAUGAAAAAACUCAGAGCAAGUUGUAUUUCUUCUCUCCUACUUGCUCUGUCAUCUGUAGAAAUUAGCUGAGGUAAAGAGGCACCUUCUUCUCAUUAAUCAUUGUAAGUUAAGGAAUAAUUUUAUUGCUGUGAAUGUUUUGGGCCGCAUGCCCAUUUCAAAGUUGAAGAUGUUAAGCCGACCCAUUUUCUCAUAAGAUGUAUGUUUCUGCAUCUUCAACCAAUAUUCCUUGGUCUGCUAAAAUACAUUAGAAAGUAGGAAAGAUAAAUAGACUCACAUAGCUGUUUUGAGGCAGCAGAUUGAACCAUAAGGCAUAUAGAAGUUAUAGUUUUAUGUCUGCUUAUACCAUAAUAAAUAACUUCAAAAAUAGACAAAUUCUUUGCAAAAUAAAACUGUAGGAUAAACCAGAAGGCUAGAAACACAAAAUACUGAAUGAUCAAGUCAAAAUAGAAUCCUCACUUUGCUUAGUGACCAAACCUGAUUCAGAAUAAAGCAAUUAUGCAAGGUAUAAGAACAUCAGGUGAAAAUGCCUCUAAAUAAAUAAAACGCAGCAUUUGUUUCACAAAUAUUUGAAAUUUCAAUAUAAUAGAACACAAAUUAAAAUGGCUUCAUUACAGAAAUUAUAGCCUUAAGUUUGCCUUUUUGUAAAAAAAAAAAAGAAUAAUUAUAUUCUAUCUUUAAAUAGAUUGUAAACACCACAAGCAGGGUGUGUGUGUGUGUGUGUGUGUGUGUGUUAUUCACUAAUGUAUGUCCGGCAUAUAGAAGGUGUACAAUAAAUAGUUGUUGGAUAGAUUUUAUAAAAGAGUUUCCUGUAUAUAAUCUCAUAUGAUUUCACCUGAUCCAGCAGUCUUAAUGUAUAGUAGACACUAGUCAUAUGUAUUAGCCCAUAGGCACAGACUAAAGAGUGCAGUACCCAUCUGUGUCUGUCUACUUGAUAGACACCAAAUCUCUCAGUAUUCAUUGGAUGGUGAUGCCUUCUGCAAAGAUUUGGUCAGACUCAAUUCAGCCCCCUCCAUUCACUACCGCAACACCAUAUUUUAUUUUAUUUUUACUUAUUUAUUUUUGUUUCUAUUUUUUUAGAGACAGGGUCUUACUCUGUCACCCAGGUUGGAGUGCAGUGGCACCAUCAUAGCUCACUGCCAUCUCGAACUCCUGAGCUCAAGCCUCAGGCCUCCCAGAGUGUGAGCCACCACUCUCAGCUCAUACUUUAUUUUCUUAAUAAUUUUUACAAUUAGAAGAAAUUAUAUUAUUCAGCUACACAUUUACUCGUUUAUUGUUUCUCCCAUCCCACUAAAAUGUAACUUCCAUGAACAAAGGGUCCUUGUCUGUCUUAGACCCUAAGGAAGUACCUCAUACCCAGUAGACACUGCAAGAUUUCUAUGUAUAAAUGAAUCAGUGGGUCAGCCAUCUACUUGGAAUUAUUUGUCUGGAUUAUCUUUUGUUCAAUUAUUCUCUCUCUUUGCAUACUUUACUUGAGUGGCACAACUGUUUGUCUGUUUUUGUUUGUAUGCUUGUGGCUUUUCUUUUUCUCUCUUUCCUCCCCCGUGAUGUGGAUUUCCUCCUUGGUGCACGGGUGAGGCACCCUCGAAGACCUAGCAGGAUCAUGGUAGAAUCUAAGAAAAAACAACCGUGAAUUCAAUGGCUUAAGCUAGCUCUUCUCUAUUAUCUCAAAAAAGGUAUGUUGUUUCUACCUUGUAUUCAUCUUCAUGUUUCCUCUAAUCUCAUCAGAGAGGUAAGACCACAGGAGUCAAGAAUAAGGAAAUAUGUGCCACAUUUUCUUUAUCCAGUCUAUCAUUGAUGGAUAUUUGGGUUGGUUCCAAGUCUUUGCUGUUGUGAAUAGUACCCCAAUAAACACAUAUGUGCAUGUGUCUUUAUAGAAUGAUAUAUAAUCCUUUGGGCAUAUAGCCAGUAAUGGGAUUACCAGGUCAAAUGGUAUUUCUAGUUCUAGAUCCUUGAGGAAUCCCCACACUGUCUUCCGCAAUGGUUGAACUAAUUUACACUCCUACCAACAGUGUAAAAGCAUUCCUAUUUCUCCACAUACACCAUGGAAUACUGUACAGCCAUAAAAAAGGAUGAGUUCAUACCCUUUGCAGGAACAUGGAUGAAUCUGGAAACCAUCAUUCUCAGCAAACUAACACAAGAACAGAAAACCAAACACCGCCAUGUUCUCACUUACAAGUGGGAGUUGAACAAUGAGAACACAUGGACACAGGGAGGGGAACAUCACACACCAAGGCCUGUGGGGGGAUGGGGGGCAAGGGGAGGGAGAGCAUUAGGAGAAAUACCUAAUGUAGGGGACGGGUUGAUGGGUGCAGCAAACCACCACAGCACGUGUAUACCUAUGUAAAAAAACUGCACGAAAUAAGGAGGCCAGUGGGCACAUCUAAGCCUUCAGCUAGGCAAGAAAAUGACCUUUGGAGUCUCACAUUCAUUCUGUUCCUUCUGUUUACCAUAAUAAGAUACAGCACAGGGUUGUUUUUUUUUUUUUUUUUUUUUUUUGAGUCGGAGUCUCGCUCUCUUGCCCAGGCUGCAGUGCAGUAGCACAAUCUCAGCUCACUGCAACCUCCACCUCCCAGGUUCAAGCAAUUCUCCUGCCUCAGACUCCCAAAGAGCUGGGAUUAUGGGCACAUGCCACCAUGCCCAGCUAUUUUUUUGUAUUUUUAGUAGAGAUGGGAUUUCACCAUAUUGGCCAGGCUGGUCUUGAACUCCUGGUCUCAAGCGAUCUGCCCUCCUUGGCCUCCCAAAGUACCGGGAUUACAGGUGUGAGCCACUGUGCCCAGCCAACACAGGGUAACACGGUCAAAUCCUCAGCAGGCAAUACUAGCAUGUACGUUUGCCUUAACUGUCCUUUGCAUCACAGUUAUUCCUUGGCAACCCAUGUGACAAAAAGCAGCUGGCAAGUUAUUCAAAUCUCUGCAUUACACAGUCACCUAUCAAAACUAACAGCACAGACAUUACAGAUGAGGAAACAGCCUCAGAGUAGUCAUGAGACAGGACUGCUCUUCCCCCUACAUCCUGUUUCAAUUACUUUUCACUCACUGAGAAUGUGAAAAAUAAAAUGAAUGUUGUAAUACACAUUUUCAUUAUUAUUUAUUCCUUGGUUGGGUGGCAAACUGUUAAGGUAAAUUGAUUGUAAGACCACCAGGCAAUGCUAAAGACAUAAACCAGCCUUAACAUUUAAAUAAUAGGAACAUCCUAUGACCACUUCGACUCAUUGAUUUGUCAUGUUCACUUAUUGCUUCUUUUUCUCCUUCCAGGCAAUUUUCUGGAAAGACUGAAAAGUUUUUGUUCUCAUUUUCUUCAAUAUGGCAGUAAUCCUAAAUCUUAAAGCAAUAAAAAUAGCCAUUAUAAAUUCAAGGAAAGAGUUGGAAUAUUUUUUUAUAAAAAUCUGACUAUGUCCUCUCACUCAAGUCACUUAAGGAGUUAUUUGUACAGCUCCUGCUGCUAUUCAAAGUAGCCAGAGCUCUAAUUCAAGUAAUAUCCUUUCUUCUUCAAUUCCGCAUACUUCCUCACCCCUGUGGGUCAGCACUUUGUUCAGUAUUUGUGACUGGAUUACUGGUCUUUCCCCAACAACCACUAUUUUUCUUCCAUUUCUGGGUUUCUUCUCUUCUCACGUUAUGAAAGCCAUACUUUUGUACUUAGCUUUUACACUUUCGAGAACAUUCGGUCUUUAAAAGCAAGAACACUGUCUUAGCUAUCUUUUGAUCUCCAACAGUGAUUGUCUUUACAAAUGGAAGCAAUGGUGAAUAUGCAAUGAUUAUCCUUUCCUCUUUGCUCCACUCAUCCCCAAUAAUUUAAUAUGUUUGUGAUAAUUAGAUUUGCAUUGAAAAUGGAAAUUUAGAGAAAACUUUAGGCUAAUAAUGGACAUUGUCCUCUAAUUGGACAUUAGCUGUAACAAGUCUAGGCUAGAUCCUAAGGAAUUAACCAAACACCCUAAGCACUUUCAUCUUCAAUCCUAUUACAUUUAAAUGGGUAUCUAGGUCUUUUGAAAUUUUAAUCACCUAGAAAGCUGCUGUUAGUUUCCUAGAGCCUGCUGGGUGAAAUUAUUAUCCCACAGCAUUUGUACUGCAAGUCCUAGACACUCUUGGAGAAAUAGCACCACAUAACUUUCUCUUCCCUUACAGUCAAAAGUGGUAAAAUCUCCAAAGAGAUGACUCAAAGCCUGGUCAAGGAACUAUAUCAGUAAACACAGUAAUCACAUGAGUUUGUCAAGAUGAAAAAUUGGCUCCUUAUGUGAAACCAAACAGCUUUUUUUUCUGUGUCACCAUUCCAGGCGAAAAAGAGAAUGAUAGCUUUGUACAGGGUGGGUAGAGAGGGUCUUGUUCUGGGUUCUGAUAUAUAGGCUUAAAAUUUAAGGGGAGGAAUUUAGUUUUGGCAGGAAAAAGUUCUCAACUGUAACAGUUAUUUGACACUGGAAUGUAAUAUAAAAGAAAAUCACAGGUUGCUUCCAUAAGAUUUUAGAUUUUUAAAUGUUGUACUGAAUCCUCUGAGGGCUACUAGGAGCAAAGAAAUAGCAUCUUAAAGAAGAGACCUGUGAUUCUAUAAAUGUAUUUAAAUAUAAUGAAGAGUUUGCUAACACUAGUGAUUUUCAAAGAGUGGAACAAGUAAUUGGAAAAGUAAAGAAUAUCAUUCUAAAGGUUUAAACACAAAAAGAUGUAUACUUCAAUUAGACAUGGUUUCUAAAAUUAAUUCAGUAUUCAAAAAUGUAAUCCCAAACGUAAGUAUCUCUGGAGUCAACAACAUCAAUUAACACUUUACACUCACAGAAUACCUGGCACUAAGUAAAACAUUCCCAAAAUAAAGUGUUUGCCCUCUCUGCAUUCACAUUCGGCACGGGAUGGUACAACCUGAAUAUUACAAAGAGUCAGUCUGAAUCCAUUUUAAAGUUUGAAUUAUAAAUCAGUUGUAGAGUCAGAAUUAUACAACUUUAGGGGAGAAACAUGAGUCACCACGGUUGUAAAUCAGAAUUAUACAACUUCUGGGGAGAAACAUUGGUCACUAUCUCAUAAAACUAAGAUUCUUUUUUUCUCAUUUUUGUUUUUUAAAUAGCUGUCUUCUUUUUAAGAAGAAAAAAAACCAUACACUCAUUAACUUUCUCAAUAUCUGUCAUGGUCACAUUUUAAGAGAUGGAGAAAAACAAUCCAAAUCAUUUAGCGUACCACAAGUGAAUUAAUCCACCUUUCUCAGAGAUAGUUGGGAUAUUUUCAUCCCAGUGUUACUAAUCAAUUACAAAGCCUACUCUGGAGAGGAAAGACUCUAAUUUAAAUGCAAGCAGCAUGUGAAGCUCUUCUUUUUUAUUAUUAUUUCAAGUAAAUUGUUUCAUUAAAAACCUCAGGAAGGAGAUGGCUUCCUGUGCUUGUACAGAGAAAAGUGCCCGGGACAGAUAAAUAAGUCAGCAGAGCCCAAAUUAACUUGCUUCAUUAUCUCAUCCACUCACCUACACAGAAGAAUCUACCUUUCUGGAUCUCUCCCUUCCUCCGCGCUCUCUCCCCACGUCAUUGCUUCCCAUCCGGGAGAAAAGACUAGAGAACAAGUUUCAGUUCACUCUCUCUGAACACUUCCCUGGAGACGGCUCUAACUUUGACUAUUAUGCACUUCAAAUGUUAUGCAGCAGCAGCUGCCGGGCAUCACGUCGGGGCAAUAUUUAAAUAUUAUGCCUACCAGCUGUGUUUUCUUAAAUAGUACCUUUAAACGUCAGUGGCUGUGUUUGUGAUAGACUCUACAAGGCAUGGAAUAUGCAUUGCAAAAUCAUUUUCUCCUCUAGAGAUUUAACAGUUCCAAAAAUGUCUUUACAUCGGUAAGAAAAGUUUGCCUUUCUUCAACGCUUCCCCCCUUAUAUAACUGAGUUAAUGAGUGUUCCUUGCUUGCAGCUAUCUUUCCAAAGGCAGGCACCAAAUAUGAAAAAACAUUCAUCAGUGAAACUUUAAGCAAGAGAAUAAGCCAAUGCAUUGAAACCUGGGUAAUGGGUUCCGGAUGACUGAAGUUGAACAAGAGUCGCAGUCAGGACUGGGGGCCAUUAUGAUAACUAUAAAUAGAAGUAAGGUUAGCGCUACUGGCUCUUUGAUCAUUUUUCAGUCUAUAGCUCACAAACUCCUGUCGUUAAAAAUUCUAAGAAUUACUAUGCAAUUGAGCAGGCAAUGAAUGUUUUUUAAUACACAGGUUUUUUUUGUAGAAUGUGUAUACCUGAACCACUCUUUUUAGGUAAUCCUGGAAACUGUAUGCAAAAAAAAAAUUUUAAACCGAAAUUAGAAAAUAUUAUCACAAAAUAGUGGCUCGUGUACAGGAUUCUCUGAAUCCAAAUGAUCCCAAACCACAUCACAAAACAGUUAAAUUAGUGUAAAAAUUUAUGUAGGAAGACAGAUUGUUAUUUCCACACUGUAAUAGACAGAGUGACUCAUUCCCCUAAGGGUAAGCAUGCAUCCUGCUACAUUUUUCAAAUGUUAUAAAGGUAACUUAUCUCUAGUCCAUAUUGUCUCCAAAAGUAACAGUCAGGGUAGCAAUACUGCAGAUAAGCAAGAAUAGGACAAUUGGACAAGACCAGGGGCUUAAGUCUUGUCACCUGUUAUCUAGAAUUGGUCUGGCUUUGACGUAUUAAAUUCUCAUUCUACCACAUCUUUUAAUUUCUAGGUCUACUGCCUCCUCUAUUUUCUUGGAUCCUUUUCAAACCCAUCCUGCCUUCAUAUUCUAUACUAAUUACUUAGAUUCUAUUAUCCAUCAUGCAUCACUUUGUUCACACUUUGUCAAUAUUUUCAACUUUUUUGAGCCAGUGUUCUUCCUUCUCUCCAAAGUUUCUAUUACUUGUUAAAUUAGAGAGAUACUAGAACAAGCUAGUGAUUACUUAAAACAUGAAUAUUUCAUGUUUAUUCAAUCUUUCCAUAACCCUUGUUUAGAAUACACUUUAGCCACUCCAGAAUUUUGCAAUUCUUCUGUACCCUGAGAAUAUACAUUUGCAUUUUUACCUUUUUUUCAAUUUUCUCUUUGCUGGCAGUUAAAGAUUAAUUUUUCUCUUUGCUCUAAUAGCCUUGUGCGUUUGAUGUUGGUGGCUAAUAAAUUCAUAAUGCUAAUGAUCUUAGACAUAUCUAAGUAUCUUUUGGUCUUCAAAGUGCUAAUAAUUGAACUUCCAACACGGUUAAGUGUAGAGGAUACACCCUCAGGCUCUGACAGCAGUUCCAAAUAUCAUCAGACAACUGAGAACUCUUGUGCUGAGUGACCUGGGAUUUCUUAAGCAGAUUCAACUGAACCUUACAAUAUUUAAGGGACACCCAGAAAGACGAUAAUUCCGCUACAGGAAGCGGGAAUGCCAACAAUCAUAAAUUGGCAACAUAAUGCAGAAAAGGACAGCUGAGUUUUUGCUAAUGCCAAGGCAGAAGCAGUAGAGGGUUGACUGACACUAAGAAGAUUAUCUCUGGAUUUUCAAUACAGCAGGCAAAUGAAUACUGCAGAUAAACACACUAUCAACUUUAUUCUUACAACCCUGAUAUUGACUUUAAUCUUGACCUUGGAAUGGCUUCUCUGUACACACAAAGCCUGUUUGAAAUGACAUUUUUUUAAGGUGAAACAAUAAUUUAUCUAGUGAUGAACUUGUAUUUAGAUGUUUACAGCUGGCCAGCCAACUAAGUGCUUUACAUACAUCUUGUCUGAUUUAAUCCUUACAACAACAUGAUGAGCUCACUAUGAACUCCCAUAAUUUACAGACAGGGAAACUGAGGCUUGGUGCAGAAUCAAUCCAAUAUCAGGGCCUGAGCAAUUAUAUCCCAUUCCUAGACUGCACCCCAGUAGUUUGUGUUUCAGUAUUCUGGCUUCCUAUAGUUAACAAUCUGGACAAUUACCGAUAAUUAUAAAAAACAAGGGCUGAUAAUUAUAAAAAGCAGGUACUAAAAACAGUGCAGAGCAAAUGACAGUGGGUAAUUGACAGGAUUCAGGGUAUAAGAAAAAAGAAAAGCACAAUUCACCGCAAGUUCUAGCCUUCUCUAUGGGAAAAGCAGGCCACUGACUAUGUAGUGAUCUUUACGACCUUGAAGCUUUCUUUAGCCAGAAAUUGAAGGUCUUUGUCUCCAGUCUUCUUUAGAGCCAGGCAUUCUUAUCCUUAACUACUUUAGGGGCUUUUUUAAGGACACAUGUAUAUUAACUAGGCUGUUACGUUUCCUAGGAAGCGGAACACAUUAAUUAAGUGAAGGAAUUAUUUCAUCUACUCCAGAUCAUUACUAUCUCUUUUUCGUUUUUUUUUUUUUUUUUUUUGAGAUAGAGUCUCACUCUGUUGUCCAGGCUGGAGUGCAGUGGCACAAUCUCGGCUAACUGCAACCUCCGCCUCCAAGGUUCAGGCAAUUCUCCUGCCUCAGUCUCCCGAGCAGCUGGGAUUACAGGCCUGUGCCACCAAGCCCAGCUAAUAUUUGUAUUUUUAGUAGAGAAGGGGUUUCACCAUGUUGGCUAGGCUGCUCUCGAACUCCUGACCUCAAGUGAUCCACCUGCCUCGGCCUCCCAAAGUGCUGGGAUUACAGGCACGAGCCACCAUGCCCGUCCAUCUCUUUUCAAUUAAUAGACACACACAUAUAAAGAUUUCUGUGAAGAGACGUUUUACACUUCACUUAUUCAAGUCCUAGAUCCGUUCCCAUCACUUCAGUAAAGCUCUUUUGCCAAGGUGACCUGGUGGUUAUUUUUAGUUCUUAUCUUAUUCUCUACAGUAUUCUCCAUUCGACAUCUUUCUCCAUUUGAAGUAGUCCCUUUCUUUGGAUAUGAGCGCAUUACUCUCUCCUCCUUUCCUUGUUCUCUGACUCUCACAGCUCCCUCUCUCUGCAAGCUACUAUUCUUUUACCGAUCCAUCAAGUGCUGGAGUUUCUAGGGGCUCUGUUCCAAGCGUCUUCUCUUCACACUCUACAUAUUCAGUCUGGGCACCUCACUCACUCAUGCAGUUUCAGUUUCCAUAUUUAUGCAGACAACCCUGAAAUCUCUAUCUUCAGCUCAGAAUUCUACACAGAAGUUCAGGCCUAUAUAUCAAAAUGUAUACCAGCUCUCUUAGACACCCUGCAGACACCUUACAUUCCAUAAUUCGCAAAAUCCAGUUGUCUUUCUCCAACUGAAAAACCUGUUCAUUUUCUGUAUCUCAGUAACCUGAGUGUCACAGUCCUCAUCCCCCAUAUCCUAUCAACCACCAUCUCCUGUAUAUUCUACGUAUUAAGCACAUCAUUACCCUCUGUCCUCCUUAUCGCUCAUUUAAUGCCAGAUGCCAUCUCUCCUCUGGAUUAUACAACCAACUACAGAAGGUCUUCAUGCUUCUUGGUCCCAUAGAUAGGACCUGCCAUGUUGCCCAGGCUGGUCUCAAACUCCCGACCACGAGCAAUCCUCCCACCUCAACCUCCCACAGCGCUGGGAUUACAGGCAUAAGCCUCCUCACCUGGCUUCACUCUACUAUUAAUAACCUCAAAUUUGCAUGCUGCUCUUUACUGCUAUUAAUAAGCAUUAAAGGCUUGCAGUUGGUGUCUUCUCAGAAGGCUCUUCUUCUACUUCUUAGAAAUAGAAUAACAAAUUCUACAUUGCCUUCUAUUUUCAAGUUAGAUGCUACAUCCAUAGCAAAGUUUCUUCUAACUCCAGGAUCUGGCUAGCCUACUCCCGCUGUGUGCUGCCAACAUUCCUAAUGUGUCUGGAAUUGGUGGGUUCUUGGUUUCACUGACUUCAAGAAUGAAGCCACAGACCCUCGUGGUGAGUGUUACAGUUCUUAAAGGUGAUGUGUCCGGAGUUUGCUCCUUCUGAUGUUCAGGCAUGUUCAGCGUUUCUUCCUUCUGGUGGGUUCGUGGUCUCGCUGGCUUCGGGAGUGAACCUGCAGACCUUCACAGUGAGUGUCACAGCUCUUAAGGCAGCACGUCUGGAGCUGUUCAUUCCUCCCAUCCGGAGUUGUUCACUCCUCCCGGGGGGUUUGUGGUCUUGCUGGCCUCAGGAGUGAAACUGCAGACCUUGGCGGUGAGUGUUACAGCUCAUAAAAUCAGUGCAGACCCCAAGCGUGAGCAGCAGCAAGAUUUAUUGCAAACACCGAAAGAACAGAGCUCCCACGGUGGGGAAGGGGACCUGAGCAGGUUGCCACUGCUGGCUUGGGCAGCCUGCUUUUAUUCCCUCAUCUGGCCCCACCCACAUUCUGCUGAUUGGUCCAUUUUACAGAGAGCUGAUUGGUCCAUUUUACAGAGAGCUGAUUGGUCCAUUUUGACAGGGUGCUGAUUGGUGUGUUUACAAUCCCUGAGCUAGACACAAAAGUUCUCCAAGUCCCCACUAGAUUAGCUAGACACAGAGCACUGAAUGGUGCAUUCACAAACCCUGAGCUAGACACAGGGUGCUGAUUGGUGCAUUUACAAACCUUGAGCUAGACACAGAGUGCUGAUUGCUGCAUUCACAAUCCCUUGGCUAGACAUAAAGGUUCUCCAAGUCCCCACCAGAUCAGCUAGACACAGAGCACUGAUUGGUGCAUUUACAAACCUUGAGCUAGACACAGAGUGCUGAUUGGUGUAUUUACAAUCCCUUAGCUAGACCUAAAGGUUCUCCAAGUCCCCACUAGACUCAGGAGCCCAGCUGGCUUCACCUAGUGGAUCCCACACCAGGGCUGCAGGAGGAGCUGCCCCCUAGUCCCACGCCCUGCGCCCACACUCCUCAGCCCUUGGGCGGUCGAUGGGAUGGGGCGCCAUGGAGCAGGGGGCGGUGCUCCUCAAGGAGGCUCCAGCUGCACAGGAGCCCACCAUGGCCGGGAGGCUCAGGCAUGGUGGGCUGCAGGUCCUGAACCCUGCCCCACGGGGAGGCAGCUGAGGCCCAGGGCCAGCACUGCUGGGGGACCCGGUGCACCCUUCGCAGCUGCUGGCCUGGGUGCUAAGCCCCUCAACCCACCUGGAACUCGAGCUGGCCUGCAAGGGCUGCGCAGCCCCGGUUCCCACCCAUGCUUCUCCCUCCACACCUCCCUGCAAGCUGAGGGAGCCAGCUCCGGCCUUGGCCAGCCCAGAGAGGGGCUCCCUCAGUGCAGCGGUGGGCUGAAGGUCUCCUCAAGCGCCGCCAGAGUGGGCGCCAAGGCCGAAGAGGUGCUGAGAACCAGCGAGGGCUGCCAGCACGCUGUCACCUCUCACUAAUACUUAUUCCUCUCCAUGUAGUACCUUAAUUGCUUAAUGCUACAUGAAUGAGAGGAAUGAAUGAGAUGCUAGUGCUGUAAAUUUUCAACAUUUAAAGUACUUAAGACAGAGAAGUGACUAGAUGAUAUGGUGGAUAGGGGAGUUAUACUGAAGCUGCAUUUAAAUAGCAGGCGUAAUGUUUCUGCUUCUAUUUAUUGUUUAUUUGGUAUGAUUUGGAGGGGUUCAUUAUUACUAUGAGAGUAAAUUGGGUCUAUGAGGGUCUAAAAUUUCUCACAAGCCACCCAUUAGUAUCACUAAUGAAAUAAACCAGUGGUUUGCAAACAUUUUUCAUUUAAGCUUCUAUCAGUAAAUAAUAUGAGCAUGUACCUUUAAUGUGUGGAUUUUAUAAUUUAUAGAUUAUACACAUGUACUUAUAUAUAAUAUACCUUUUAAACAUUCUCAGAAACAAAGUUUUAAAAAAUUUUAAGAUAAAUGGAGAUUCUAAAUUUUUCUAUACCUUGGUCGACCAUCUAUUGAUUUCUGUUUAAAGAUCAUCUUUACAAAUGGUUUGUUUUUCAUUUCUGUGGGUACAUGGUAGGUGUAUAUAUUUAUGCGGUACAGGAGAUAUCCUGAUACAAGCAUGCAAUGCAUAAUAAUCACAUCAGGGUAAAUGGGGUACCCAUCCCCUCAAGCAUUUGUCCUUUGUGUUACAAUCCAGUUGUACACUUUUAGUUGUUUUUAAAGUACAAUUAAAUUAUUACUGACUAUAGUCACCCUGGUGUGCUAUCAAAUACUAGGUCUUAUUCAUUAAAAAUGGGUUUUGAAGACAGGAAAUGUAUUAGGUUGGUUAGCUGCUAUAACAACAUCAAAGAUGGGUCUAGCACAGAGCUCAGGAUAUAGUAAGCACCCAGUAGUUAUCAAGCGAUUGAAAGACAGAAAGUUUGCGCUAAAGAGUAGAGUAGCUUAUGGAAUGCGGUCUAACCACCAGUGGGAUGCAUGAACACUCACAAGAUAACUCCUUCAAGGAAAAUUUCUCAAAAACAUAUAAGAAAAAGUGCUUGCUCGCCAAGAUGGAAAAGACAACCAUACAUAGACAAACACUCCAUCAUUUCCUUUUAAAUCUAAGCAGCUUUUUGAUGGGUUUUGUAAAACUAAUUUCAAACAUUUUCAACGACUCUCAAAAUAGUUGUGACUAUUAAUAAGGUUUGAGGGAGAGAGAUAAGAAUAGAUUCAUUUUCAUAAGCAAAAUUAUCACUGUAUUUGUGAAUACUAUUUUACUUCAAAUAUUUUCCUUGAAGAUUUCUAUCUUAAGUGGUUUUUAGAACUAAGCUAUGCCAAAAUUCUGCAUCUGUGAUGUCAGAAAAUAUUACCCAUUGUUCUGGCCACAUAAGGGCAAAGUACAAUUUCAAAGACAUACUGAAAAUGGUGGCCAAGGUUUCACAGUUUGUCAGAAGUUAGCUGGAAAAAGAAAAAAACAUUAUUGCCAGCCACAGUGGCUCAUGACUGUAGUUUCAGCACUUUGGGAGGCCAAGGCGAGAGGAUCGUUUGAGGCCAGGAGUUCAAGACCAGCCUGGGCAACAUAGCAAGACCCUGUCUCUCCAAAACCAAACAAACAAACAAAAAACGUUUUAAAAUUAUCUGGACAUGGUAACAUGUACCUGCAGUCCCAGCUACUUUGGAGACUGAGGCAGGAGGACCACUUGAGCCCAGGAGUUCAAGGCUGCGGUGAGUCACGAUCAUGCCACCCAGCCUGGGUGACAGAGUGAGACCCUGCCUCUAAAAGAAAUAAUCAUUCUUUUUUGUAUGCACUUCACCUCCCAAUAAUAGUAUUUAAUUCCUCAAGAUAAGCAAACAACAUGGUGUUCAUACGCCUUGAGAGAAAGGACUGUAACUAAGAGAGUCUCGUCGAGUUCAGAGAGUGGUAGAUUGUAAGAGUUAAAGGAAUUUUUACAGGUCACAGGCAAACACAAGUGCUAUAGCUUGAAUUCUGAGGCUUUGAUUUAGACGCAUUUGGCUGUUUUUCUCAAGGUGACAGAAAAAAAAAGUCAUGCAUUCCUACUCUUUUCUGAUUCUUGAAGACAAAACCUGGCCUGGCCUGGGAAGCUGAAAUAUCUGAUGAGUUUGAUUUCUUCCCUACAAAAUGUUCAUGAAACAUUUGAUCUUCUGAUUCAUUCUAUUCGUUUUUAAUAGCUUUAAACAUACAAUAAGUUUUAGGUGUACAAUUCAUUGGCUGCUAGGAAGUGUACAGAGCUGUGCAACCAUCACUACAAUCCAAUUUUAAAACAUCUCCAUCACUCCAGAAAGGAACGCCAUGUCUGUCUGCAGGCACUCCUUAUGACCACUGCAACUCCCAGGUUACCAUUAAUCUACUUUCUGUCACUAUCAAUUUACCUUUUCUGGACUUUUCCUUUAAGUGGAAUUCUACAAUAUGUGGUCUUUUGUGUCUGGCUGAUUCUACUUAGCACCAUGUUUCUGAGGUUCAUAGAUGCAGCAGCGUGUGUCAGUACUCCAUGCCUUUCCAUUGGCCAAUAGUAUUGUGUUGUGUGGUUAUACAAUUUUUUGUUUCUCUACUCAUCAGCUAAUGGACAUUUGAGUUCUUUCCAUUUUCUGGCUAAUAUAAAUAAAACUGUGAAUGAACAUUUACAUACAAGUCUUCGUGUGAAUAUAUAAUUUUAUUUUUCUUAGGUAGCUAGAAUUGAAAUUGCUGGGUCCUAUGGUAUAUUUACAUUUAACAUUUUAAGACACUGCCAAACUUUUCCCAAGCAGCUACACCAUCAUUCUACCUUAAAUUUCCUGAGUACCAGGUAAAUGAUAAUCGUGGUGUUUUGAACAGGACUACAUUUGCUAACCAAAAUAGAACAUAAAUUUCUGCCAGCUCUUAGCUCUUACCAGUUAAUAUACUUCCAUCAUUCUAUCAUUUCAUAUUAUCCCAUCUAUUGCUAAAGUGAUAUAAUCUGAUAAGCAAAAUUGAUCUGUAGAGACGCUAAAAUUAAAUGCUAGUUACUUGGAACUAUUUGGAGAUUCAAAUUCAAAUGGGCCAUUAAAAGUUACCUUUCUUUUUUUUGUAAAUCUGCUUAAAAAACCCCAGAAGCAUUCAUAUCACUCCUACAUUUCUUCCGAAAAUUUCCAUCAACAUGGUAAAGAGAUCGAGACUAAUAAGUACAAUUAUAUGACACAGAGAUCCUUCAGCAAGCCAUCUCUGUAAAGAGGCAUAAGGGAGUCCAUCGAUCUAGUCUUUAGAGCAGAGUGACAUUUCUGUGAAAAACAAUAUUUUAUGUCAGACUGUUGCUUGAGUAGUCCAUGAAGGAUAAAGAAACAAGGAAACUAAACACUGUUCACAGAUCAACAAAUGUCUUUUCUCCUCAAGUGAAUUCUGCAUUGUCAAACUCAGCAAAGCCAAGAUAUAACCAUGACGUUAAACAGAGUUCUUAAUUCAGCUUUUCACAAAGAGAGAAAUCUAAAUUUCACUUAUAUUUUUUUAAAAGAAAAUCUACAUUGAAUGGAAGAGCAAGGCCUCCACCUAGUGGAUAGUUCGAAAAUUUUGUUUUUUACAGUCUCAUUUGGCAUUUAUAUGGUAAAAUGUCAUAAUGGAUAUAUAGAGUGAACGACAAAACAGAAAUGUCGCUAAUUAGCUCUCACUUACUAACGAAGCCAGUUAAAACUUGAAAAUAAUUUCACAAUCUUUCAGGGAGACAGGGAAAGGUACAGUCACCAAUAAUACAUUUAGAAAUAAAUGUAGGCAAUAAAAGAAAGUGAGACGAGGCAAACUUUUAAAGGUAUGAAGAACAUUUAGCUAGACGAUUAAAAAUUUGUGUGUAUAAAAAAUCCUCAAGACCACAUGAAUUACCAUAUUGAUGUUCCUCAGUUUCAGGCAAUCAAUGGGGUUAUUUUCCACCAUCAGCUCUGUAGAUAGCACAGAUUUUUCUUCUUUUUUUUUUCAGACAGACUCUUGCUCUGUUGCCCAGUCUAGAGUGAGCAAGCAGCCUCUCACUAGAGUUCACUGCAGCCUGGAGUUCCUGGGGUCAAGUAAUCCUCCUGCCUCAGCCCGCCAGAGCGCUGGUAUUACAGAUGUGAACCACUGCAUCUGGCCAACUGUUCUUUUAAAUCAUGUCACUUUACAAAGCAAUUAUAGGAAUCUUAUAACCAUAUAUAAUAAUUUCCAAAUUGUAUGGCUACUAUAAGUUGAUUAAAAGUCUAGAGAACAACAGAUUUGAGGCUUAUAAUUGUACUGUAAUGCAUGCUUUAUUCAUUAGGAUCUCAGCACGUAGGCAGACAUUAAACAAAACUUAUGCUAACAUUUGAGGACUCACUGUAUUCUAGGCACUGGUAAGGGCUUGAUAUAAAUUAUCUUCUAUAAUCCCCAAAACAAUCCUAUUCUUCCCCCUUGGUACGGAUGAAGAAAUUGUGCCUUCACCACAGAAAUAGCAGAGCUGGAAUUUGUUCCAGGAAGUCAGACUCCAGAGGCCACGUUCUUAAGCUCUGAAUGAAAACAGAAAAAAGCACAAUAAAAAGUGAACGCACAUUGAGAAAUGUGCGUUCACUUUAUAUUGUGCUGUUUUUAAGGAGAAAGCGUAUACUGUUCUAAUUUAUAUUACUUAUUUGCUAAUUUUCAAGAAAUUUCAAACUUCCCAUUUCAGUGUUAGAACUGAAGUGAGAAUCAGAAGCCCUGAGCUCUUUUUCCGUCUCUACCGCCCCUUUGACAUCAGACCAGUUUUUGACCUUUCUAAUAAAAUGACCUGUAUCCUUGUGAUAUGGUUUGGCUCUGUAUCCCCACCCAAAUCACAUCUUGUAUCUCCCAAAUUCCCAUGUGUUGUGGGAGGAACCCUGUGGGAGAUAAUGGAAUCAUGGGGGCGGGUCUUUCCCGUGCUGUUCUCCUGAUGGUGAAUAAGUCUCACGAGAUCUGAUGGCUUUAAAAACGGGAAUUUUCCUGUGCAAGCUCUCUUCUCUUGUCUGCCACCACGUGAGACAUGCCUUUCACCUUCCGCCAUGAUUGUGAGGCCUCCCCAGCCACGUGGAACUCUAAGUCCAUUAAACCUCUUUCUUUUUUAAAGUGCCCAGCCCGGGGUAUGUCUUUAUCAGCAGCGUGAAAACAGACCUUGUCUAGUGCUCUUGGUAUUGAAGCCUUGUGGUGCUGUAUUGAAGUCAAUGGGGAUAUAAUAGGUCAUCCCUAAGUGGAUAUGUUCCUCAUGCCCACUGCAAGGCAACCAUAACAGAGUAUAAAACAUGAGCCCAAACUUCCAUGUAUAAAAAAAGUGCACUUGAGAGAGCAUGAAGAUCAUUUGGUUCAACAUCCCUGUCUCUGUAUUUCCUUUGCCUUAUAAUAUCGUUGACUAGGACUCAGUGAUUCCCCACAGCGGUGCUUUUAGCCUUUGACGCAAUUCUUGGUUGUUGAGGAUUAUCCCAUGAUUGGAAGAUAGUUAACAUCUUUGGCCCCACCUUCAAAAUGCUACUAGAGCGCUGCACAUUUUCAAACACAUACCUAGGAAAAAACAGUAAAACCUUUCGUCAAAAACCAUGCGAAAACUCCUAGAAUCUUUAUCUCUCACUCAGCCCAGAGAUUGUCAACAAUAGAGAAACAUCACGGAAGACAAAAAACCCACAGGCACUUUGAGUCCACCAGUCAACAGCCUAUACUGAUUGCUGGUGGGGUUCCCUGUAUCCAGCGAGGAAGACAGAAUGCAAAGCCAAGAAAGGUACAUGAAAUGUGUGGUAGUGGUUCCUCUUGUGAUCAAGCAGCUUUAGAGAUUGGCAUUGAAAAUAUAGAACUAUGAUUUAUGAUCUUCAACAUGAAAAUGAUCAUUGAUGCGACACAGAAAAAUACAAAACAGGAUUGACGGCCACAAUGUGUAUAUGUGUUGUGAGUGUAAAGGGUAGAAUAUUUCAGACUCUCUGUGUUAACCAAAAAUAAAAUUAUUUUCUUGUUUUUCUGUAACUCAACCUCAAUUUGAACACACUAUUUCACAUAAUAACAGAAAUUUGGUCUAAUCAUUCAAAACAAACUCCAAGGUUUUCUCAGUCAUUUCUUACGUAAUCUCAAUAUUCUCUCUCUUUCAUUCCUUUUCCAUUUGUGGAGGUGAGAGGCUAAUAAUAGUAAUAAUUAUAACAAUAGCUAAAAUAUUAAGCUACUAUUAACUUCUUAAGGUGCAAUCCCUCCCUCACACCACUCCCUGCUUUCUCAUCCCCAGACAGCUGAUCUUCUUUCUAUCGUGAUAGAUUAGUCUGCAUUUUUAUAUGUCAUUUUAUAUAAAUUGAAUCAUACCAUAUGUACUCUUUUUGUUUGGCUUCAUUCACUCAACAUAAUUUUUUUGAGAUUCAUUCAUAUUGUUGCUUGUAUUAAUAAUUCAUUCCUUUUUAUUGUGUGAAUAUACCUCAUUCCAUUAAACAGGUAAUGGAAAUUUUGGUUGUUUCCAGUUUGUAACCAUCACAAAUAGAGUCUCUGUGAAUAUUAAGGUACAACCUGUUUGGUGGACAUAUGUUUCCACUUUCCUUCUACUCUUCCUAGAAGUGGAAUGCAGGGGUCAUACGGUAGGUGUUCAUACAUCUUUCUAAGAAAAUGCCAAACUGUUUUCCAAAGUGAUUUUAUUAUUUUACAUUCACACCAGUAAUGUAUAAGAGUUUAUAGUCCCUCCAGCAAACUAACAAGGAACAGAAAACCAAACACCACAUGUUUUCACUCAUAAGCGGGAGUUGAACGAUGAGAACAUAUGGACACACGGAGGGGUACAUCACACAUCGGGGCCUAUCAGGUGGUUGGGGGCAAGGGUAGGGAAAACAUUAGGACAAAUAUCUAAUGCAUGUGGGGCUUAAAACCUAGAUCAUGGGUUGACAGGUGCAGCAAACCACCAUGGCACAUGUAUACCUAUGUAACAAACCUGCACGUUCUGCAUAUGUAUCCCAGAACUUAAAGUAAAAUUAAAAAUAAAAAAGUUUACAGCCCCCCAAUAUGUAAUAUGCUCAGACUUUUAAAAUUUCUGUCAUUUCAGUGGGUGAGUAGUGAUAACUCAUUGUGGUGGAAUUUUCAUUUCCCUAGUGACUAAUGAUCUUAAGCCUCUUUUGAUGUGUUUAUCAUCUGUAUAACUCCUUUGAUAAAACAUCUGUUUGUAUAUCUUGCCCAUUUUCUACUAUGCUAUUUCUUUUUAUUAGACAUUUUUAUGUUCUAAUUACAAGUUAUUUAUCAGAUUCAUGUUUGCAAUAUUUUUCCUGGUUUAUUUGCUUAACAGAAUAAACUGUUUUAGAUGGUAAUGCACAAUAUUAAUUUUUUUCUCUUAUGAAUUGUGUUUCUGGUGUUGUAUUUAAGAAAUAUUUUCCAAGGCCAAGACCACUAAAGUUUUCUCCUAUGUUAUCGUCUAGAAGUCCUAUACUUUUGACAUGUUUUUUUCUUUUUUUUGAGACAGAGUCUCACUCUGUCACCCAGGCUGGAGUUCAAUGGUGAGAUCUCGGCUCACUGCAACCUCCGCCUCCCGGAUUCAAGCAAUUCUCCUGCCUCAGCCUCCUUAGUAGCUGGGAUUACAGGCAUGCGCCACCAUGCUCGGCUAAUUUUUGUAUUUUUAGUAGAGACAGGGUUUCACCAUGUUGGCCAGGCUGGUCUCAGACUCCUGACCUCAGGUGAUCUGCCCACCUCAGCCUCCCAAAGUGCUGGGAUUACAGGCAUGAGCCACCACACCCAGCAAUUUUAGGGUUUAUAUUUAAGUCUAUGAACCAUUUCAAUAUAAUUUUUGUUGAUAUUGGGAGGUAAGAGUUGAGUAUUGGGUUUCUGCAUGUGGCUACGUGAUUGUUCCCAAACCAUUUGUUGAAAAGAUUAUACUUUUCCCAUUAAACGCAUUCCACUUACCUAUUUUUCUAUCCUUACACCAAAAUCACACUCUCUUGCUCACUGCAGAUUUAUAUGCUAAGUUUUAAAAUCAGUUAAUGAAGACCUCCAACUUUCUUCUUUUUCAAAGUUGUUUUGGAAUUUCUACGUCCUUUGCAUUUCUAUAUAAAUGUUAGAAUAAUGUUGUUAAUUGCCUGAAAAAAAAGGCUUUCUAAGGAUUUGGUUAUCAUUGUGUUACACAUGUAGAUCAUUUGGGGGAUAAUUAAUAAUAACAUUGAAACUUAUGAUCCAAACACUGUAUAUUCUCCAAUUAUUUAGGCCUUCUUUAAGUUAUCUUAGCAAUGAUCGGUAGUUUUCCAAGUACGGGUCUUGAGAAUCUUUCGUUAAGGGUAUACGUCGUUAUGCUAUUUUUUUUUUUUUUUUUUUUUUUUUUUUGAGACUGAGUCUCGCUCUUUCGCCCAGGCCGGACUGCAGCGGCACUGUCUCGACUUACUGCAAGCUCUGCCUCCCGGGUUCACGCCAUUCUCCUGCCUCAGCCUCCCCAGUAGCUGGGACUACAGGCGCCCGCCACCACACCCGGCUAAUUUUUUGUAUUUUUAGUAGAGACGGGGUUUCACCAUGUUAGCCAAGAUGGUCUCGAUCUCCCGAUCUCGUGAUCCGCCUGCCUCGGCCUCCCAAAGUGCUGGGAUUACAGGCGUGAGCCACCGCGCCUGACCUCCAAUGCUGUUUUUAAUGUACUUUUUAAAUUUAUAUUCCUAAUUGUUUGCCACCCAUAUAUACAAAUACAAUUUAAUUUUGUAUUUAUAUCUUGUCAUCUCUAGAUAUAAUUGGUUUUACUUCUUCUUUUUUUAUCGGCAUGACUUUUGUUUGUUUUUCUUGCCUAUUGCAUUGGAUAGAACCUCUAGUACGAUAACUGAGCAAAAGCAAUUAAAGCAGACAUCCUUAUUUUCUUUCUAUCCUUAGAAGGAAAGCAUUAAGUCUUUCACCAUUAAGUUUGAUGUUAACUGUAGGUUUCUCACAGAUACCCUUUAUUAAGGUUAACACAGCUUCUUUCUCUGCUAAUUGUUUUUUUCAGAAAUGAAUGUUGGAUUUUGCCAAAGCUUCUUCCACAUCUACUGAGGUGAUCAUAUGGUUCUUUUGUAAUCUGUUAAUGUGGUGAAUUACAUAGGUUGAUUUUCAGUGUGAAACCAACUCUGCAGUCUUGGAUGAAUUCUACUGGAUCAUUAUGUGAUAUCUUUUUAAAAUACUGUUAGGUUUGGCGGGGCAUUGUGGCUCACACCUGUAAUCCCAACAGUUUGGGAGGCCAAGGUGGGUGGAUCACUUGAGGCCAGGAGUCUGAGACCAGUCUGGCCAACAUGGUGAAACCCCAUCUCCACUAAAAAUACAAAAAUUAACUAGUGCCCACCUGUAAUCCCAACUACUUGGGAGACUGAGGCAGAAGAAUUGCUUGAAUCCAGGAGGCAAAGGUUGCAACGAGCCAAGAUCGCCACUGCACGCCAGCCUGGGUAACAGAGCGAGACUCUGUCUCAAAAAAAAAAAAAAAAAAAAAAAAUUGUUGGGUUCAAUUUACUAAACUUUUUGCAAAAUUUGUGCAUCCAUCUUUAUUUAGCCAUUGGUUUGUAGUUCCCUAGAAAUUUCUUUGGAAAGAUUUUCUGGAAAAGGUUGUAUUGAAUUGGUACUAUUUACUUGACAUGAUUAACACAUAUUCACAUAUUUUAACUCUUAAUCUCCAUGAAAACAGUAUGAAGCAGACCAUUAUCAUGAUUUUACACAGUGAUUAAUUCACUUGCCCAAGGGUCAUAACUUAUAAAUCAUGGGGCCAGAAUUAAAACUUUGUCAGUCUAAUAAAGACGCACUACUUCACUAUACUAAUUUCAAUUACAGUCAAAAUGAAAUCAAUACCUUUAAUAUAUAAGUAGUAUAUGUUUGGUAAUCUCAUUUAAGCUUCAUUGUUCAUAGACUGAGAUCUUGGCAGAAAGAGUGGAGGACCUUUGCUAAGGAUACAUCUAGCUCUUUGGAAAUAACAGUAUCUAACAGCAUGUUAAAAUAGGAAACUUCUUGCCCCAGCUUUUGGUGAGGUCCCCAAAGGCUCAGAAACAAAAUUAAAGGUUCAAAUUUGCAAAAAUGAUGUUUAAAAACUGUUUUUAUGAGCCUUAGUUAACAAUCAGUCAAGGGUUGGUAGUAGAAGAGGCUGAAAUAUGUGAAAGCUGGAUAAUUGAGGCAUUCUCCCACCUACUCCUCUUUGCCAUAAGUCUAAAAAGAGGAGAUUCGAGAAGACCACCUGUAGAGCUACCUAUUGUGUGAGAAGCAAAGAAGCUGGUGUCUGACUCAAGGCUGACUAGAGCAAAUGCAAAAAUCCAUGCUGUGAGCUGCUUGCAAUGUCAGGACAAGAAAAGCACAGCAAAGAAGGCAGCUAUUCUUUCAUAAUUUAGAUGGGCAAUGAUGCACGAGUUGCCUGAGAGAAAAAUGGAUGAUCAAGAAGAAGUUCAACAGGUCAAAGUCCCCUGAAGAGCUCAUUCCCAAAAAAUAAAAAUAAGAAACAAAACAAACAGCCAGGGUAAGGGGACCUCAGCAAAAAGAAGCUAUGGGUGGUACCUUUGGGUAUUGAUGCCUGUUGUGAGACCUCGAUUCUUUUCUUCUUAGUUUGAAAUAAUUUACACAAGCAACACACAGGAAAAGAGAUGCAACAUAGAGUAAUUUAUUGCAAAGGAAAAAAAAUAUUUUGAAAGUUAAGUGCAGAAUAGGCAAUACACACUGAGAGGGGAGUCAGAGUGACCUGCCCGUGAGGAUGAGACAGCAAAGACUGGCACUAGGGAGACUCCCUUUAUGGGAAUCUUACGUAAUCAUCCAUGAGCAAGUGGGAAGAGGUGUCUGGGUGGCCCUCUGGGCACACAUGCACAGUAGCUGUACAUGCCUGUUCAUAUGUCACGUGUCUCAUUAGCAUCUUAAAUCUCCACCCAGGGUGUGUGUUUUUUAGUAUUAUAGUGAGCACAGGGUCAGUCUGAGGACAGAUAAAAUCAAAGUGCACAUGCUCCCUACCGGGGAAAUUCCCUACUGGAGAUAGCUUUGCUUGAAUAAGCUGGACUACAGUGCAAAUGUGGGGGGUUAUUGUUUUGACUGUAUGGUCACCAUGAUGGAUGCAUCCCAAGGACAUGGCUAUUUCCAUGACUACCUAUCCUGCCCCACAGAGGCUCUGAGGAUGAAUCACAAGAAGUUAGCUGGAGAGUGAAUCUCCCACAUGAGAGGAUUGGAGCAGAGGGCAGCCAAGAAUUCACCCUGCAAAAAAAAACCUAUUUGAACAUCCAUCAUUCUCAAAGAAAAAAAAACAAUGGUAUAUCUACUACGUAUGCUUCAUUUAAAAAUUUUGAAUUAUUAUCCAUAAGUAUGACUGGUCAUAGGAGGGGUGUGUGUGUGUGUGUGUGUGUGUGUGUGUGUGUGUCUUUGUUAGGUUUUGAUAAUGCGUUUAUGUUGGCUUUGUACAAGGAAUUUUCUGUUGUGGCCCAAGUAAUAAUGUUUUCUUACAGUCUUACCAUCUUAGAUGAGACUUAAAGAGGCCCAGAGAACAGCCUGUGUUCUUGGUAAAACCACCUUUCCUACUCACUCUCACCUACAAACCCCUACAGCAUUCUCAGUGACCACAGUAAAGUAACUUACAGGCCAUUGACAAAAAGGAGUCUAUUAUAUGGAACAUAUAAUCACUAUUCCCUCGUUGCUCCUGAGAACCCAACAUUAUGCCUUCAUUCCAUUCACCUCAACAAUCCAAUCUUAUCAAGCACACUGCUCUACCAGAUUUUUAACCUCCUAACACUUUGUACAUCCACAAUCUAAAUCCAAUACCCCACCUCUCCCAAAUCCCCUAUAUUCCUUCUCUGAAACUCAUAUUCAUCAGUGUAGUCUAUAAUAUCUUCACCCUCUUUUCUGAGCAUUAUUCGUCCUUCUUCAUGAACGCAGUCUGUCUUCUAUGGACUCUGAUAUUCUGUAACUCUUUCAAGUAGAGGUGAUUUUUUCUCCAUACUAUAUGUGCCACCAAACCUAAAGGUAGAUUAGAUGUCAGACUUUUUCCUCCUUGCUACAUCCAAACAUCUUACCCCCUACUUCUUAAAACCCCCUUGAUAAUUCAGAGCACAUGCCAUCAGAACAUGACACGCUUAAUGUACUGAGAACUGUAGCACUCAGCACGUGACUUUCUUUCAACUGCUAUCAUCAACUUAGGUAAGUCGCUAUGCCUGUAGAGUCAACACCUUGCCCCUCCAGUUUCUUGACCUUUUUGCUUUCAAUAAUUUUCUUCUACAUCCUGCCUCUUCCACCAACAACUACAUCAUCUUCAAUAUCUGGGUUUUGAUCACCCCUGUCUCUGAUAAUUACUUCCUCUGAUGACUUCCAAUUAAGUUGGAAUUAUGAUCACUGGAAUUAUGGAAUGGAUAUGGAAUUAUAAUAAUUCCAAUAAGCUUCACUCCUAUUACUCAAGGUAAUGUCAAACUCACUGUAUCUGUCAAUCCACUAAGCUGGCCACUUUUUUAUGCUACAACACGCAUCUCACGCCCUCCCUUCCCUCCUUACCCAGCUUAGAUCCCAUGACCUACCAUUAUAAUGACUACCACACAUACCCUCAGCCCCUUCAUCCACUUUUUCUUCUUUACACUCAUCUAACAAAACAUCAACCCUAACUAAAUUCAAUUCCAAGUACAACUCUAAGUUCUACAUGUUUAUUAAUCUCUUAAUUGAUUGGAUUUCUACAUUAAGUACUUUUUCCAGGAAGAAUCAUGGAUGUCGUAUUCCCUAGGUCCUUGCAUUUUCAAGAUCAUCCAUCUGUAAUCUUCACACCUGAACUGAAACGAGCCAGGUAUAAAUAUUCUUAUUGAUAUUUUCUUUCUCUCUCAACAGUCUAGAUACUCUUCCACUGUCCUCUGGCACUGAAAGGUUGUGUGGAAAAGUUCUGAAACCAGUCUGAUGUUUAGUUCAUUGUUUAGUUCAUUUUUUCCCUUGAAUCCUGAAUAUUUAAUUAUCCCUAAGAAUCAGUAACUUUGCCUUAUGUAGAUUGAUAUUUAUGGAACAUGGUGCACCUUUCCAUUUUCAGAUGUUAAAACUUACUAAUUUCUUUAUAGUGGAAAAGUUGACGGGGGGUUGUUUUCUCAUUAUAUCUUGGAAUAUUUUUCGGUGUUUUUUUAAAAUCCAGAAAAGGUUAAUUGUUUUUUAUAUUGACCAUGUUUUCUGUAAAUUCUUUCAUGCUUUAUCUUUUUUCUUUGCAUUAUCCGAGUUAUUUCCAGCCUGUUUGUCAUUGGUUUAAUUUUCAACAAUGCCUACCUCACUAUUUUUUAUUAGUUCCAAUAUUAUGUCUUUUUAUACUCAAUUCAUUUCCCUAGUUCUCCCAUACUAUUCUCUGGUCUGUUAUCUUUUCAUCUUUGAGUUUUGGUUUUAUAUAGUCUAUACACUUUAUAAUUUCUUUAAAAAUGCAAAGCAUUAGUUGUGAAUGUUUUUCUUUUGUUUUCUAGGGCGUGUUCUCAUUUAGAGUACUACGCAUGAGAAGGUCAUUUAUUUCAUUUUUUAAAUAAUCAUAGGAACUUCUCAUAGUUGUUAUCCUGUCUCUUCUCAUUUCACUCAUAUUAGACAAGGCAGCUCUUCUCUUUGCCCAUGUGUGAGCUCUCCUUGAAUCUCUUCUUAUCUGCGAUCUAAGAGUGUUGUCUUACCUUCAGAUGGUCAACGUGAAGAAUGGGUAUUGAUAGGUCACACUCACUCUGCUCUUUGUUUAUCUGAGAUUGAGAAGCUAGAGAGAGGAAGCUAUGGGCAGUUAGGAAGAAGUUGGUCUCUUCUCUAUUUUCCUAUUGAUUUUAUAAAAUCCUGUUCUGUAUUUUGUUUUUUCUAGUGAAAUGUUGACUUCUCUCCUUAAUUCAGAGUGAGCUGCUGAAUCUUCCCUCUACAAAAUAUCACUCAUUCUUACUAGGCUUUAUUCCUCUUUCCACUGAAUAUUGAGCUUCUAAGUUCAAAUGGGAGUCUUUCAGGCUAGCCAUUAACUUUUCCUGUUCUGUAAAUGCCAAGAUAAAAUAUUAUGAGAGAUUAAAUUAGUAAAUCUAGUUAGAUUUUUUCUUAUAAUGAAAAUACAAGCUGGAAAAUUGGAGAAUGCUGUACAACCCUUCCAAACUCCAACAUGUUCAUAAGCUCAACUUUCUUAAAUUGAUAUUAAUAUUGUCAUUUCUUACUAACAAGGACUGCAGAUAAGCUUUAGGGACUCUUUUUUCCUUUCUUUCUUUUUAUUUCAACCUGUUGACAUAUAGGCAACAUGUCCACUAUACCAUGAUUUUAAGUGCUCCUUUCAAAUUCAUAUCUAGCCCUUCUUCCUAACCCAUUUUGGGGGUAAAAAGUUGCUGAGUUCAAAGUCCUAACAUCCUAAAGGACUUCUUUCUAAAUUAAGUGCCAUAAAGUUCUUAUCAAAGAAUAUAUGGAUUUACGCUAUCAAAGGCUUCCAUAGAAACCUCUAAUUUGACUCAAAUGAAAAGUUUAGUCCUUUUAAAAUGAAAACAUUAAAGCAAUAAGGUGAAAGCAUCACUUCCAUUGAUUUAGUAACCAGUGACUUCUAAGUGACUUUUAAAUUUGAAUCUCUUUUAAAAACCAGAAACAGGCCGGGCACGGUGGUUCACACCUGUAAUCCCAGCACUGUGGGAGGCCAAGGCGGGUGGAUCACGAGGUUAGGAGAUCGAGACCAUCCUGGCUAACACAGCGAAACCCUGUCUCUACUAAAAAUAAAAAAAACUAACCGGGAGUGGUGGUGGGUGCCCGUAGUCCCAGCUACUCAGGAGGCUGAGGCAGGAGAAUGGUGUGAACCCGGGAGGCGGAUCUUACAGUGAGUCGAGAUCGCGCCACUGCACUCCGGCCUGGGCAACAGAGCGAGACUCUGUCUCAAAAAAAUAAAUAAAUAAAAAUAAAAACCAGAAACAUACUGGCAAAUUCCGGUAGUCUACCUUUAUAUGGACACUGUAUUCUCACUUCAAAUCCAGUAGGGCCAAAAGAAAACUCAUAUUCUCCCUGUUGAACUGGUGUCUUUUUCUGAUUCGUCAUCUAUAACAUUUCUGCCAUUAUAUAUACACAAUGAAGCUUAACAAUCUUCUUUAUUUCUCCCUUUAUCAAAGAGUUCAUUGGUUAAUCAGUCACUCAGUUCUAAAGAUUUUUCUCCACCUUGGGAAUUAAAUCAUAUUUCUUCCUGUCCGUUCACACACACAUACCACUGAGAAAUGCGAGCCCAGGUUACUUUUCUCCCAAUCUCCCAAGCUAUCUUAAUAACAGCCAAUCUCCUCAUGAUUAGGCUCUCACUUUGCCAUCCCAAUUAAAGUUUUGACCAUGUCACCACCAACUUAAAAAACGUUCCAUGGUUCUCCAAUACCUUCUCAACCUCCUUUUGUUGUUUCAAUAUCCCCCACGAUCUGGUCCAAUCUCCCUGUCAACAUCAUCUCACAAAAGUAUACACAGUCAAGCCACAAUGCUUUAUUCACUAUUCUCCAACCACAUUUCAUGUCUUUCAUGAUGACACUUCUUCUGUCGAGGCUCCUGUGUUUAUUGCCACACUAUUCACAGUAGGAAAGAUAUGAAUCAACACGUGUGUUCAUCAGGCCCGGCGCAGUGGCUCACGCCUGUAAUCCCAGCACUUUGGGAGGACAAGACUGGCGGCUCACGAGGUCAGGAGAUCGAGACCAUCCUGGCUAACACGGUGAAACCCCGUCUCUACUAAAAAUAAAAAAAAAAUUAGCCAGGCUUGGUGGUGGGCGCCUGUAGUCCCAGCUACUCGGGAGUCUGAGACCGGAGAAUGGCGUGAACCUGGAGGUGGAGCUUGCAGUGAGCCGAGAUCACGCCACUACAAUCCAGCCUGGGCGACAGAGCAAGACUCCGUCUCAAAAAAAAAAAAAAAGUGUUCAUCAAUGGAUAAUGAGAUAAACAAAAUGUGGUGUGUGUGCGCGCACACACACACACACACACACACACACAGCCAUGUAAAAAGAAUGAAAUCCUGUCUUUUGCCGCAAUAUGGAUGGAACUGCAGGCCAUUACCUUAAGUGGAAUAACUCAGAAACACGAAGACAAAUACCGCAUGUUCUCACUUAGAAGUGGGAGCUGAACAGUGUAUACACAUGGACAUACAGUGUGGAAUAAUAGACACUGGAGAUUCGAAAGGGUGGCAGGGUGGGAAGGAGGUGAAGAAUAAGAAAUUAUUUAAUGGCUACAAUACACACUGUUGGAGUGACAGUUACACUAAAAGCCCAGGCUGCACCACUAAAUUAAAUAUCCAUGUAACAAAAUUGCACUUUCAACCCUUAAAUGUGUACAAAUAAAAAAAAGAACAUUUCUAUUCUUUCCUCUCCUGCUUCAUUUCUACAUGUUAAAUCCUAUUUAGCAUUCAAGUCUUGGAUCAAAUAUGCUGCUACAAAGCCUUCUUUGGGAUUCCGUAAAUAAUUAAUCUCCUCCCUAGAUGACUUUUUAGUUAUCAUUA